rnacentral:rRNA from 1 species
UAUACCGUAGCUUGCUACACCAUAGACUGUGAGUUGCGAACGGGUGAGUAACGCGUAGGUAACCUGCCUAUUAGAGGGGGAUAACUAUUGGAAACGAUAGCUAAUACCGCAUAACAGUAUGUAACACAUGUUAGAUGCUUGAAAGAUGCAAUUGCAUCGCUAGUAGAUGGACCUGCGUUGUAUUAGCUAGUAGAUAGGGUAAAGGCCUACCUAGGCAACGAUACAUAGCCGACCUGAGAGGGUGAUCGGCCACACUGGGACUGAGACACGGCCCAGACUCCUACGGGAGGCAGCAGUAGGGAAUCUUCGGCAAUGGGGGGAACCCUGACCGAGCAACGCCGCGUGAGUGAAGAAGGUUUUCGGAUCGUAAAGCUCUGUUGUUAAGGAAGAACGAGUGUGAGAAUGGAAAGUUCAUGCUGUGACGUACUAACCAAAAGGC